UACGUAGGCAGCAAGCGUUGUUCGGAAUUACUGGGCGUAAAGAGUGUGUAGGCGGUGUUCCAAGUCUGUUGUGAAAUCUCCCGGCUCAACUGGGAGGGUGCGGCGGAAACUGGGAUGCUAGAGGAUGGGAGAGGUAAGCGGAAUUCCUGGUGUAGCGGUGAAAUGCGUAGAUAUCAGGAGGAACACCUGUGGUG
rnacentral:rRNA from 1 species